rnacentral:lncRNA from 1 species
UUCCUCCCCCUAAUUUUUUGUAUUUCUUUUCUUCUUCUACUAAGCCGAUUGUUGUCACCAAAUGUGCUUAUGUUUGGGCUAGCAAGGGCCAGAGCUGUUGCCGCUUUUGACAGAGGUCUCCACCAUAGAGGUGGCUGGCCCUAGAGCGCUCCUCCUCUAUUUUGAGAAGGGACCACCUUGGGUCUCUUUCUCUCUUCCC